rnacentral:tRNA from 1 species
AAGACACUAGUAAAAUUAGACAUUACAUCUCCUUGUCAAGGAGAUAUUGCAGGUUGAACCCCCGCGUAUCUUA